rnacentral:rRNA from 1 species
GCUGGAAUUGCUAGUAAUGGCAGGUCAGCAUACUGCCGUGAAUACGUUCCCGGGCCUUGUACACACCGCCCGUCACACCAUGAGAGUUGGAAAUACCCGAAGCCUGUGAGCUAACUGUAAAGAGGCAGCAGUCGAAGGUAGAGCCAAUGAUUGGGGUGAAGUCGUAACAAGGUAUC